rnacentral:rRNA from 1 species
CGAAACUCAAAUGAAUGACGGGCCCGCACAGCAGCGGAGCGUGUGGUUUAAUUCGUUGCUACACGAAGAACCUUACCUGGGUUUGACAUAAGUGGUGGCAGGGAUCCGAAAGGUGACCGACCUUCGGGAGCCAUUACAGGUGUUGCAUGGCUGUCGUCAGCUCGUGUCGUGAGAUGUUCGGUUAAGUCCGCUAACGAGCGCAACCCUCGCUGUGUGUUAUAUGUGUCACACAGGACUGCUGGUAUUAAGCCGGAGGAAGUGGGACGACGUCAAGUCAGCAUGACCUUUAUAUCCAGGGCUACACACACGCUACAAUGGUCAGUACAAUGGGUUGCCAAGCCGCGAGGCGGAGCCAAUCCUAAAAAGCUGGCCUCAGUUCAGAUUGCAGUCUGAAACUCGACUGCAUGAAGUCGGAGUUGCUAGUAAACGCAGGUCAGCUAUACUGCGUUGAAUACGUUCCCGGGUCUU